AACGUAGGAGACAAACGUUAUCCGGAGUUACUGGGCGUAAAGGGCGUGUAGGUGGUUUCGUAAGUCUGGCGUGAAAUUUUUCGGCUUAACCGGGAAAGGUCGUCGGAUACUGCGGAACUGGAGGACGGUAGAGGCGUGUGGAAUUCCGGGUGUAGUGGUGAAAUGCGUAGAGAUCCGGAGGAACACCAGUGGCGAAGGCGACACGCUGGGCCGUACCUGACACUGAUGCGCGACAGCAUGGGGAGCAAACAGG
rnacentral:rRNA from 1 species